rnacentral:rRNA from 1 species
UACAGAGGGUGCAAGCGUUGUUCGGAAUUAUUGGGCGUAAAGGGCGCGUAGGCGGCGCGGUAUGUCACCUGUGAAAUCUCCUGGCUCAACUGGGAGCUUGCAGGCGAAACUGCCGUGCUGGAGUGUGGGAGAGGUGCGUGGAAUUCCCGGUGUAGCGGUGAAAUGCGUAGAUAUCGUCAGGAAUGCCGGUGGUGAAGACGGGUGACUGGGCUGGUUCUGACACUGAGGCACGAAAGCGUGGGGAGCGAACGGG